ACCCGAGCGGUCUCCAUAUUUUUGCGCGAUUCUCAUCCCCCGCCGGCGGCGAUCCGAAUCCACUAGAUCGAGACCCCCGCUGUUCCCCGCGGCACGCCACCUUGAACUCGUGCUCCGCCCCCUCCCUCGCCAGGCCGUCACGAGGCUCCCCUGAGCCGUGCCCGACUCCUUCCUAGCCACUCGGUCGUGCGGCGCUCACGAGACGACUCCGGCCCCUACCUCUGGCCACCGAAGUCUCCACAGGGCAAGCCUCGCUCACGGGAUCUUCCGAGGUCAGGGAUUAGUAUCCGUCUGCUGAUGGGUCGCCAACAACCUCCAGCCGCACGGUGUCCUCCUCGUCGGAUCCUCCGCUGGCUUCCUGAGCUCCUGUUAAGAUUUAUUUAUGUCAACCCUGUGCACUGCAAUUGCGGCUGAAUUACUGGACGGAGAUCAAUGAAAUGGUUUAGUUUGCAUAGAAGGAUUGAGAUGACAUUAUUCUGCAUGCAAGCUUUCUUCAACCGUUGAUGCAGCUGUUGAAUCGUGUUUAGGCAUGUAUCUGACUGUAACUUCCUGAUGCAGGGACACCAGUUGCAGAAUCAACAGUUGAUAAAGUUGGCAAGGUGAUUGGUUAUGUUAGUAUCGGGUACCCGUUUUGUCUAAUAGCCUGAAUCCUAUUUGGGAGGCAUCCUGAUGCUAUACUCUAAGUCUGAGAAACCAAAGCUAUUCAUCAUGGGAACUGAAGACGGCUGAAAUAGUUGCAAAACAAGGUCAAGUGCGGCUGGAUGGAUGGGUUGAUACACACUUGAUUGAAGGAGCUGGCCACUUCCAAAUGUAGGGCCCUCCUUAUGAUGCCCAGAUGACCACUGUCCAAGACCGUGAGUUUAAUGUGCUGAAGCUCAUCCCUGCAUGGUCAAAGUUUGUUGCAAGGAAGAAGAUUACUGCUGCCUGAGGAAGACUUCAAGGAUUCCAAAAGCUUGAUAUGGAGUUUUUAUUUUGCCCCUUUUUAUACCCAAAAGCUUGAUAUAUGAAUCUUUCUGUGUUGGUGUCAACCGCGCCUUCUCAGAACAUGAGUUUUCUUUUUUCCAAAGUGAGGCCAUGAGUCAGCUAUACCUUAUCUUUGUAGAUUUAGGAUAAAAUUCAAAUUUGAAGAGGCAAACAAAGAAAACCAGUAAAAUUCAAAUAACUUCAUCCAACUGUGAGCAUGAACCAGUUGGAAUGUUGUGAAUGAUUUGAUUUCAGAAUCCCAUAAUAAAUCACUAGUUUUAAAAUUUAACUGAUACUUGAAAAAAUGUUCUUCUGACUUUAUGGAUUUAAAACCCAAUACCUGUUAGA